AUCAAUUUUGAUAUAAGUUGAAAGAUAAUGUCAAAGAUUUAUUAUUGACAAUGCCAAAAGUAAAAUCUUAAGAAAAAUUUAUUACUCGAGUCAUUACAUAUGACAAUGAACUAUUUGAAAGACUUCAAGAAUAAAGACUUGACUAAAGAAGAACAAAUCAAAUAAUGAUGGUAGUUCCCAAGUUUUUAAAAUUCAUUCAUCAAGGUCAGAACCAAUGCAAAUUGAUACAAUAGAUUUUAAUCUUCUAUAGAGUAGGAAAAGAUUAGAUAAUGUCAAGAGGGCAUAUGCUUAUAUUGUAGAAAAGUUAAACACACUCCUUGACAUUAUGCAAAAAAAAUAAAAAGCA
rnacentral:lncRNA from 1 species